AGAAUCAACGCUGGCGGCGUGCCUAACACAUGCAAGUCGAACGAGAAAGUGGAGCAAUCCAUGAGUAAAGUGGCGCACGGGUGAGUAACACGUGACUAACCUACCCUUGAGUGGGGGAUAACCUAGGGAAACCUGGGCUAAUACCGCAUAAUACCCACGGGUCAAAGCAGUAAUGCGCUUGGAGAGGAGUUCGCGGCAGAUUAGCUGGUUGGCGGGGUAAUGGCCCACCAAGGCGAUGAUCUGUAUCCGGCCUGAGAGGGCGCGACCGGAACGCGACCUGGAACGUGAAACACGGUCCAGACUCCUACGGGAGGCAGCAGUGGGGAAUUUUGCGCAAUGGGGGAAACCCUGACGCAGCAACGCCGCGUGGAGGAUGAAGCCCCUUGGGGUGUAAACUCCGUUUCGAUCGGGAAGAUAAUGACGGUACCGAUAUAAGAAGCCCCGGCUAACUUCGUGCCAGCAGCCGC
rnacentral:rRNA from 1 species